UACGUAGGGUGCGAGCGUUGUCCGGAAUUAUUGGGCGUAAAGAGCUCGUAGGCGGUCUGUCGCGUCGGUCGUGAAAACUUGGGGCUUAACCCUGAGCUUGCGGUCGAUACGGGCAUGACUGGAGUUCGGCAGGGGAGACUGGAAUUCCAGGUGUAGCGGUGAAAUGCGUAGAUAUCUGGAGGAAUACCGGUGGCGAAGGCGGCAUCCGUGGACCGACAUUGACGCUGAUGAGCGAAAGCUAAGGGGAGCAAACGGGG
rnacentral:rRNA from 1 species